rnacentral:rRNA from 2 species
GAUGAACGCUGGCGGCGUGCUUAACACAUGCAAGUCGAACGAUGAUCCGGUGCUUGCACCGGGGAUUAGUGGCGAACGGGUGAGUAACACGUGAGUAACCUGCCCUUAACUCUGGGAUAAGCCUGGGAAACUGGGUCUAAUACCGGAUAUGACUCCUCAUCGCAUGGUGGGGGGUGGAAAGCUUUAUUGUGGUUUUGGAUGGACUCGCGGCCUAUCAGCUUGUUGGUGAGGUAAUGGCUCACCAAGGCGACGACGGGUAGCCGGCCUGAGAGGGUGACCGGCCACACUGGGACUGAGACACGGCCCAGACUCCUACGGGAGGCAGCAGUGGGGAAUAUUGCACAAUGGGCGCAAGCCUGAUGCAGCGACGCCGCGUGAGGGAUGACGGCCUUCGGGUUGUAAACCUCUUUCAGUAGGGAAGAAGCGAAAGUGACGGUACCUGCAGAAGAAGCGCCGGCUAACUACGUGCCAGCAGCCGCGGUAAUACGUAGGGCGCAAGCGUUAUCCGGAAUUAUUGGGCGUAAAGAGCUCGUAGGCGGUUUGUCGCGUCUGCCGUGAAAGUCCGGGGCUCAACUCCGGAUCUGCGGUGGGUACGGGCAGACUAGAGUGAUGUAGGGGAGACUGGAAUUCCUGGUGUAGCGGUGAAAUGCGCAGAUAUCAGGAGGAACACCGAUGGCGAAGGCAGGUCUCUGGGCAUUAACUGACGCUGAGGAGCGAAAGCAUGGGGAGCGAACAGGAUUAGAUACCCUGGUAGUCCAUGCCGUAAACGUUGGGCACUAGGUGUGGGGGACAUUCCACGUUUUCCGCGCCGUAGCUAACGCAUUAAGUGCCCCGCCUGGGGAGUACGGCCGCAAGGCUA